UCAGUUCCUACUGAUGAAUCUGAAAAGUUUCAGUCAUGCAAAUCAUCAAGCAAACCAGCUGCUACUUCAUCUGUUAUCAGCAACCAAAAUGAGUCUUCCAGUAGAAGGGUGGUUACAGAAGAAACAAGCUCAGUUGAUGAGAUGAGAAGGAUAUUAAAUAGUGUAGAUCAUUAUGAAGCACUAGGACUUCCUCGUCAUAAAAGAAUUGAUACUACAAUAUUGAGAAAGGAAUAUCACAAGAAGGCCC
rnacentral:misc_RNA from 1 species